AGUGUACUUCUAUACAGUGUACAUAUGCAGUAAUCAUAUGCUGCAGUUGUGGUGAAUCAUAUGCUGCAGUUGGGAGCUGCAAGUACAAUGUACAACCAGGGAAUUGUAAUUAGAAAGUCCAGCUCCCAACUCCAGUUUAUGACGUAACCGACGCCAUUUUUAAUAAUUGAUGAGUCAUAUCUACUUAUGUAGUAUCGGUUUACUACCAUAUUAGCAGCUGAUCCGUCUAGACUCUGGAUUAUGUCGCUGCAGUCAAUAUUAUUUUGGACGCAAUUCGCGGUUCCGUUCCCUAAACGGUGAUUAAUCUAGAUUGUAGCAAAAUGUACGACAAAUAUUCACGUUUUGUUUUACAAAGUUUACGCAUAUUCGGGAUGUGUCCUUGGCAGCAAACGAACUCCGGACCGAAACUGUUACUGUAUUCUGUAGUCUCCCGAAUCUUGUUCAUUGCUGUGGCGCUGUGUGCUAUAACUGCUGAUUUUUUGACGUAAUCACACACUUGGAUUACCAUCAAUGAACCAAAACUUCCACUGACUCUUGUAGCCAGCUUAUUUAUUCUAACAUCACUCCUGGUAACUGUCUACGGAUCCAUAAUGGCGUUGCGUAGCAAACCUUUGCUGUCUAUUAUGGAAGAAUUGCGCCGACUGGUCCAAAAUGUGCCGCUCGUAAUGCACACACUGAGACUCUGCUGUAUGUGGUAUGCUGCCGGUGUAUGUGGAUUUGGUGUCGUGCUAACCUACAUCGCGAUACGGCGAAUGCGAGAUGCUUGGUACCAAAAAGAAGUCAUCUUCGGCUUUGAGUUUUGCUCCUUAUACGGGAUGGUUCUCCAGAUGAUUUUAGUAAGCGUGAUUUGCUGCGUGGCUAUAGUAUUCUCGUUAUCGUUUGUCAUUUUCGCGGUGACCUUAGGAUCUGCCUUCAGGGCAAUUGAAAACCGCUGUACUGAGCAUUAUCAGAAGCAUAAAACUGGCGAAAGGGAUUAUAAGGGCCUUGUGGCCGAAAUUAAUAAGUGUCGGCACGAGCAUCUGGCGUUGUCUAACAUUGUUCGCAGUCUCGAUGAUGUCUACGCUCCGUCCAACUUCGUCAGCUUAAUGCUGGAAGUUCUUCUGGUGGUGUUCAAUUUCGGAACAGUAAUCGGUGUGGCUCCCUCAAAAAUUGGGCACAUGUUUACGAAUAAUAUCACUGAUCUUGUGUUUUGCUCGUUGAAUGCAUUGGUUAACGUUUUCGUACUGAUGAAACGGCUGGUUUGCUGCAGCUUAUAUGCAAAAGCAGGCAUAUUCGAUUGCGGUGAUUUUAAGCAGCGUGACGGAAGGGUUUGAUACCAACGGAAACGAUGAAUUCGAGGUGCAGAUAAAUAAGACACUGCGUCGCUUACGAGAUUGCCCUGUCGUGUUCACGGCCGGCUGGAAAUAUCUUCACACUGAACACCGAAUUUAUUCUGUCGGUGUCCGGCAUUCUGAUUGCGUACGUUUUGGUCCUGUAUGAGAUGAAUUCCAAAGGCGAUCACCAUGCCAUGUUUCCGUGCAACUGUACAGCAAAGAUGUCCGUAAGGCGUUAGCCGAUAUUGUGCGUCUUGGCAUUCAUGGUUAACGCCGUCACCACAAAUCUUUUUUGCUUGCUCUAGUUCCUAUCCCGUUUUUCAUAAAACGCUAUAGUAGAUACUUUUCUUAUCGUUCGGACGUACAUAUAUAUUAGGUAACAUCUAAUUACCUGUUCCUCGCACGAGACUGUUUCAAAUAUGGCAAUGCGUAAUCUUCUGAUGGGUUUCUUGUACGAAAUGUAUUUAUGUUCCAUACUGUUGUACUUUAGAAGUCUAAAGAGGCCUCAAGCCUGUAAUGAAGCUAUGUUCAGUACCUUGUGUUCGUAAUUUCGACAUACAUAUAAAUUUUACCGAGACUCUCUGUUGCACAUCUAUA